UGUCAACAGGGCGCGACGGUAACAGAGUAGCCUUUGCCUUAAUGCUCUGAGCCCACCGCCCAGCUUCCGCGGCCAUCGGCCUGGUCCCCUAGUCUUCGAUUGGGCUUCGGUACGCGCUCUGGACUCAGCUCCAAAGAGGGAAAGCUGGCUCUGCGCUGGUGUGGGAAGAGCAGGCAUCUGGUCUCCUCCCCAGGAGGGGCAGGGCCUAGAACGUGCACAUGAUGGUAGGACCUCAAGCAGCCACCCUGGACCAUGAAGCAAUCUUGAAGAUAGAAGCCAACACUGAGAUGGUGCAGUGAGGUAGUGAAGCCUGGUCCUUAUUCACUGCACAGUGACUGCAUCCAAACUUCAUGUAUGUGAGACAGACGAAAGCCACUAUCUUGUUUAAGACACUUAUUUAGAUUGUCUUCAUAUGCAACAGAAACUGACCUAUCUGAUAAAAUAUAAUUUUUAUUAAUAAAAUUUUGUAUUUUAAAAUAAAUUCCUACUUAACCCUUCU